rnacentral:rRNA from 1 species
CAGCAGCCGCGGUAAUACAGAGGGUGCAAGCGUUAAUCGGAAUUACUGGGCGUAAAGCGCGCGUAGGUGGUUCGUUAAGUUGGAUGUGAAAUCCCCGGGCUCAACCUGGGAACUGCAUCCAAAACUGGCGAGCUAGAGUAGGGCAGAGGGUGGUGGAAUUUCCUGUGUAGCGGUGAAAUGCGUAGAUAUAGGAAGGAACACCAGUGGCGAAGGCGACCACCUGGGCUCAUACUGACACUGAGGUGCGAAAGCGUGGGGAGCAAACAGGAUUAGAUACCACCGUAGUCCCUGUCUCUUAUAA